UACGUAGGGGGCAAGCGUUGUCCGGAUUUAUUGGGCGUAAAGAGCGUGUAGGCGGCUAGACAGGUCCGCUGUGAAAACUCGAGGCUCAACCUCGAGACGUCGGUGGAAACCGUCUGGCUAGAGUCCGGAAGAGGAGAGUGGAAUUCCCGGUGUAGCGGUGAAAUGCGCAGAUAUCGGAAGGAACACCUGUGGCGAAAGCGGCUCACUGGACCAUUACUGACGCUGAUGCACGAAAGCUAGGGGAGCAAACAGG
rnacentral:rRNA from 1 species